UGUCUGCUCUGGAGGAAGUGAUGCUUGCUUGUAACACUGCUGCUACAUGAAUUUAACAUAGUUGGUUACAGACCCACCCGUUUAUCUCUGUUGAGGAGCUGGGAGGAGUGUAGGAGCCAUGAGGACACUUACCCAGCUGUGCCUCAUGGACACAUACCACAAUGCUGGAUAACCACAGCUGGUGGUAGGAACCCCCAGGCACAAAGCAUUUGGUAAGGCUGUUCCUCCAUACUGACAGGCCAGCAUGGAGGCCACAAAAUCCCCUCCUAGGUCACCCCCUAGCAGUAGAAGGCUUCAGGACAGUCAGAGGAGAAAAAUGCAGUUGCCUAUUACCAAAUUUUUUGGCCAAGCACCCUCCAAGUGUUGGGGUUUUGUUUCUUUUGGGGCUUUAGGUUGAAGGUGUACGUAAUUUCAUUCCAUCCUCUUACCUUUCCAGUUUAAUUUGACUGCUGUGCAAGGCAGAAAGCAGUUUUCCUUCAAUAUCACAUGAGCUCUUAAGUUCUAAAGUCGUUGAGUUACUGUUGCUCACCAAAAAUGAAAGGGAUCUGUUCAGGUUUGCAACAGAGGGAAAGCUGCUACUGAAACUACUGCUUCAUGAGCCAAGCAGUGAGCUUGCUUCCUGCAGGAAGGAGGAGACCUCUCAUUAUCUGGGCUCUGGGAGCCAGUCUGUUAGAGCCGUCUCCUUUUCCUGCUCCCCAAGGAUAGACGGAGGCUUUUGAGGUAGACAGAGCAGCAAUGUGCAUGUUCCCCAGGCUUAUCAACCACUAUCAGCUGGGAUCUGCUGUUUGCUCCAGACUCCACCUUCGCUUGGAAAGGGCUUGCAGUUCCAUGAGGUAAUUCUUCCUCCCAGCGCUGUGGCUUGUUACCACGACCAUGUGCUCCUACCAUAAGGCAGGACUGAAAAAAAGCGUUUCCCCUGUAUCCAUGUGCCAGAACUUCCUCUUUCUGCACCCUACUGCCGUGCUCCGCGUGUUUUCGGUCCUGCCAUCCCAAGGGCGGGCGGUCAGGGAGGGUGAAACACCACUCGCCGAGCAGAUCCGUCGUUCUCCCACGCCCCGAGCUGCCUGACCAACCGUCCCGCUUGGGCCUGCCCGGACACCAGGGCCCGCCUGCGCUGAGCCACCGCCGGUUGUGAGUUAUCGUAGUGGAGGAAACCCCAUUUUAGUUUUGUAAACACAGCACUGCACCAGCUACUAAGAAGAAUAACUGUUACAGCUGAACCCAGGACAGUUUGGCAAAAUGAAGGUGAAAAAAGAAGCAGUGGAGAUAGAGCACACCACAGGCAUGCCUGGACAUUCUGAACAGCUCAUCAUUGAAGAGGCAGCUAACUAAACUGUAAGCUCAAAGUGAAAACCAUGUCAGUGCUCUGGGAUGAACACCUCUUCUCCUUUUUUCACCCUCCUGACGUCCCUAGUUUAGCUGGGUUUAAAUAAAUGGAGAAACACAGUGUGUGCAGUGCAUACUUUUGGGUGCACACUAAUGGUGUGUAUACAUUGAAAUGCUAAUAUAAAGACAAGCAGCAUCUGAAAAGCACAUAAGCCUAAUUGAUUCCAGGCACAACUGGCCUGGAUUUUGUUUCCUCUUAUUCCAACUUUCUGACCUUGUAAAAAUUAUCUUGAUUGUGUUAUACUAAAACAAGGCCAUGAUCUUGCAAAAACUGCCAUGUGUGCUAGUGCUGAGCAGUACCCAGUGAAGCACAGUGCGUGGAACAAAUGUCAACAGCGUUAGGCCCCAAGUUCGUUUGUUUGUUUUCCUUUGCUUAUAUCUAAUCAUGGUGAAGCAAUAGUCUCACUUCUGCUAAAAGCUGAAUCUGAGGUUUCAUUGUUAAAGGAGGUGAAAAACGUGUAGUAAAACUUGCGAUUUGAAGUGAAUCAUAAUAGGUUUUAAGUUCUUACAGCAGUUUAAGCUGCUGGGAUUUUAUGGCUUUUAGGCAAGGGGGAAAAACAGUGAGGGUUUAAAAAUAUCCAUUGCCUUUAAUUUUUUCAGCACUUUAGUGUGUGUGUGUCUGUGUGUGUAGUGGUAUCUUUGUUUUUCAGAAGAUUGCUUCUAGGGAUUGGUAGGAAAGCUGAAGGACUUACUGGCUUUGAUGAUAACCCUCACGAUACCGUUGUGCUUUUGUAUAAACAUGCGAAAAAAAAAAAAAGGCCUAGGACAGCCUUAAGUGUUGGAUAUGAUGCUGGUAUGGGCACUGGAGAACUUGAUCAAGAAUAAACUAUGCAUUUGUGCCUUUGUCAGCGAAGCUCCCAUGGGGCAAUCCUCGUAAGCACUGGUAGCAAGGAGGCUUAUAAAAAGCAGCUCCAGGUGGAAGUGGGUCUUUUCCUGCUCCUCGCUCUAUCCUGCUGCAAUUCCCAUUCAUCCAGGCCCGGAGAACUGCCUGCCUUUCAGACUGAGCUGCACAUAUAAGAGAGUUGUGGUCACUUGAACCACGUAUUAGACUAUCUACCUUUACUUAUGUUGAUUCAUUGAUGUUCUGGGGAGUUUCCUUGCUUACGGUGUAGGACGUCAACUUAACAGUGGUCAUUCAACAGCAAAUGUAACUUGAAAAAAUAAAGCCUGCCUCUAAAGAAAAUGAGCAGCUUUGAUGCAUCUUUAAACUUGGUUUCAAAGAAGUUGGUGUUAAUACAACUGCCAUCAUGUUGAGGCUUUUUAGCUUCCCUGUCAGCAUUUCAUAUUUCCUUACAGAAUGCAGAGUGAAUGUGGUGUGUAGUGUAUUAUUUAUUACAUAAUAAACCUGACAGCAUGUGCAGUGUUCUGUCUCAAAAGCCAUGUUGGAAACCUACUGCACCACAGAUUAAACAGUGAAUAUUAGUGCUAA